rnacentral:lncRNA from 10 species
GGCUUUCCAGAGAAAAGACAUUCUUGAAAAAAACUGGCGAUGAUACCAUUCAUUUCUGGAGGGGCCUGCAGAAUGCCUGCAAAAUAGAUUGAUUUUACUGAGUCUCAUGGUAGGUGUCCAAACACAUUGAAGUCAGGCUUGCUUUCUUGACCCUAUCAUGACCAUCUUUAUUAGCAUCAAUAAAUAUUCAUUAAUCAUGUAUUAUGUAGAGAACAUUGUCCUAAAAACCAAAAUGUAAGUUGGUAUAAGAUGAAGUGUCUACAGUCUAGAUGUGAGACAAGAUGUAUGCAUAAAAAGAAAUAACUAGGCUGAGUUAUUUGAGCCCUUUAUAGCUGCUAAAGACUUUUACUAAUCUCUUCAUAUGUUAUAUUGUCAUUGUUUAGAAUCAGCUUUUUCGACUGAACUGAGGAAGAGGGCCUAAUUUUUUACAAAAGGAGUACAGUAAUGUGUGAAAAGUAGCGUAUGCUAAGUGUCAAUGAUGGUAUGUGCUACAGGAAUUGAGAGAAGAGGACCAUCACCGGAGCUGGGGAGUAGGAAAGGAUUGAUGAGACAUUAUUUAGGCCUUACAGAAAUGCCAGGCACAGUGGCUCAUGCCUAUAAUCACACAUACUAGGUGGGAGAUUCACUUGAACGCAGGAGUUUGAAGCUGCAGUGGGCUUUAUGAUUGCGGAACUGCACUCUAGCCUAAGUGAGAGAGUAAGACUCCAUCUUUGAAAAAAAAAAAAGAUAGGUGAAGAGGACAUGGCAGAAGCCAUUACAUACAGAUGAAUCCAGGAAUGUUUAAUCAUUGAACAAACUGAAAUGCUUAAAGUGAAGAAAUAAAUGGGAAGAUGGGCAGCAAGCUGGAGAGGAGCUCUGAUUCCAGGCUCAAGAGUAGGACCUUAGGGCCAGGUGCGGUGGCUCACGCCUAUAUCCCAGCACUUUGGGAGGCCAAGGUGGGCGGAUCACUUGAGCCCAGGAGUUCAAGACCAAGUUCGAGACCAGCCUGGGCAAUAUGGGGAAACCUCGUCUCUACAAAAAUUACAAAAAUUAUCUGAGCAUGAUGGUGGUUGCCUGUGGUCCCAGCUACUUGGGAGGCUGAGGUGGGAGGAUUGCUUGAGUCGGGGAGGCUGAGCCUUCAGUGAGCCAUGAUGGAGCCACUGCGCUCCAGCCUGAGCAACAGAGUGAGACCCUGUCUCUCAAAAGCAAAACAAAAUGAAAGAGUAAGACCUUAUUUUCUAGGCAAGAUGGCCAGCCAUUGACAGUUUUUAAACGAAGGACUGGUAGAUAAAAAUUGCACUGUAGUAUUUUGGUGGCUAGAAGCCUGACUAAAAGAGAGGCUUGUUUUGAUAGUAGAAUUACUUUCACCCAAAAUUAACUGUACAGAAUAGCACAAUGGUUGGUGUUAAGUAUUUAAUUUUUAGUCAGGUUGGGGUCUUCUGUAGUGUUUUAAAGAAUAAAUUAGCCGGGCACAGUGGCUCAUGCCUGUAAUCCCGGCACUUUGGGAGGCCAAGACAGG